rnacentral:rRNA from 1 species
GAUGAACGCUGGCGGCGUGCCUAAUACAUGCAAGUCGAGCGAACGGACGAGAAGCUUGCUUCUCUGAUGUUAGCGGCGGACGGGUGAGUAACACGUGGAUAACCUACCUAUAAGACUGGGAUAACUUCGGGAAACCGGAGCUAAUACCGGAUAAUAUUUUGAACCGCAUGGUUCAAAAGUGAAAGACGGUCUUGCUGUCACUUAUAGAUGGAUCCGCGCUGCAUUAGCUAGUUGGUAAGGUAACGGCUUACCAAGGCAACGAUGCAUAGCCGACCUGAGAGGGUGAUCGGCCACACUGGAACUGAGACACGGUCCAGACUCCUACGGGAGGCAGCAGUAGGGAAUCUUGCGCAAUGGGCGAAAGCCUGACGGAGCAACGCCGCGUGAGUGAUGAAGGUCCUCGGAUCGUAAAACUCUGUUAUUAGGGAAGAACAUAUGUGUAAGUAACUGUGCACAUCUUGACGGUACCUAAUCAGAAAGCAACGGCUAACUACGUG